ACUUCUCGACCUCGAAACCACAGGCUCGCACCUCUCUCCCUCUCUCCCUCGAUUGAGCCCUCUGUCUUCAUUUCACUGUUGCCCAGUCACCUCUCUGACUUGACCGUCGGAGGGUCCCCGCUGGAGCCGCCUCCGGUCAGUGUGGACUUCUCGUUUUGCAGGUGCACGUUCCCCGGCGAUCGGACGACGAGGCGAUUGGCCGCAACAGAUUGGCGCGCC
rnacentral:lncRNA from 1 species